rnacentral:rRNA from 1 species
UACGAAGGGGGCUAGCGUUGCUCGGAAUCACUGGGCGUAAAGGGUGCGUAGGCGGGUCUUUAAGUCAGGGGUGAAAUCCUGGAGCUCAACUCCAGAACUGCCUUUGAUACUGAGGAUCUUGAGUUCGGGAGAGGUGAGUGGAACUGCGAGUGUAGAGGUGAAAAUUCGUAGAUAUUCGGAAGAACACCAGUGGCGAAGGCGGCUCACUGGCCCGGUACUGACGCUGAUGUGCGAAAGCGUGGGGAGCAAACAGG